rnacentral:misc_RNA from 1 species
GAGUGAGGGCCCUCUGGGUCCAACCUCCCACCCGUGUUUAUUUACCUUGUUGCUUCGGCGGGCCCGCCUUAACUGGCCGCCGGGGGGCUCACGCCCCCGGGCCCGCGCCCGCCGAAGACACCCUCGAACUCUGUCUGAAGAUUGUAGUCUGAGUGAAAAUAUAAAUUAUUUAAAACUUUCAACAACGGAUCUCUUGGUUCC